UACGUAGGGUGCGAGCGUUUAAUCGGAAUUACUGGGCGUAAAGCGUGCGCAGGCGGUUUUCCAAGACAGAUGUGAAAUCCCCGGGCUCAACCUGGGAAUGGCAUUUGUGACUGGAAGGCUAGAGUGUGUCAGAGGGGGGGUAGAAUUCCACGGUGUAGCAGUGAAAUGCGUAGAGAUGUGGAGGAAUACCGAUGGCGAAGGCAGCCCCCUGGGACUACACUGACGCUCAUGGCACGAAAGCGUGGGGAGCAAACAGG
rnacentral:rRNA from 1 species